UAAAAAAAUUUGUAAGUGCUUCUGAUGUUCCUCAUUUUGUGUAAACGGGUAAGGUGGUAUUUGUUUAUUCACUGGUUAACGGGCUAAAUUGAGGUAUGGUAAAUGGUUUAAUAUUUGUGGCAUCGUAAAUCUUUAUAGCAUGUGUUUUAUUACCUUUUUCAAGUAGAUCGUUUGAAAAGUGCAACUGCGUGUUUGUUAAAGAAGUCAAACCAAAUGCACGCAAUGGAGUGAGAUAAGUCGCUCAUUUGAUUGUUGAUAAACAGGAUAUCAUGUAGCAUGCAUGACUUAAACAAAUUAUUUUAACCGUACGAAA